ACGCUCGACACCUACGGGAGGCAGCAGUAGGGAAUCUUCCACAAUGGACGCAAGUCUGAUGGAGCAACGCCGCGUGAGUGAAGAAGGUUUUCGGAUCGUAAAGCUCUGUUGUUGGUGAAGAAGGAUAGAGGUAGUAACUGGCCUUUAUUUGACGGUAAUCAACCAGAAAGUCACGGCUAACUACGUGCCAUCAGCCACGGUAAUCUGAGCGGGCUGGCAAGGC
rnacentral:rRNA from 1 species